rnacentral:ncRNA from 1 species
CAAACGACAAUGAAAAGAAGAGUAGCAGUUCAUUUGUUCUCAGAGAGUCUCUGGUAGGUGAGAAGAGGCAGCAAUGUUUUGUGAACCACAUCUUUGAGUCGAUCAGUUGAAUUUAGUAGGCUGAUCCGGGAGCGCCCGUUACAGCAGAGGUCAGAUUGACCAGUUGAGAUCGUUCGUUGUGAGACGGCGAUGAAAAAAGGUGGAACCACGUGAUUACGUCCUUUAG